rnacentral:tRNA from 1 species
GCUGCGGUAGCUCAGCCGGUAGAGCCAUUGGUGCGCGGGUUCGAACCCCGCCGGCAGCA